rnacentral:rRNA from 1 species
CUAGCGUUGCUCGGAAUCACUGGGCGUAAAGCGCACGUAGGCGGGUCGUUAAGUCGGGGGUGAAAUCCUGGAGCUCAACUCCAGAACUGCCUUCGAUACUGGCGAUCUUGAGUCUGGGAGAGGUGAGUGGAACUCCGAGUGUAGAGGUGAAAUUCGUAGAUAUUCGGAAGAACACCAGUGGUGAAGGCGGCUCACUGGCCCGGUACUGACGCUGAGGUGCGAAAGCGUGGGGAGCAAACAGG